GAUAAACGCUGGCGGCGUGCUUCAGGCAUGCAAGUCGAACGGACCUUCGGGUCAGUGGCGGACGGGUGAGUAACACGUAAGCAACCUGCCCAGAAGUGGGGAAUAACUUGCCGAAAGGUG
rnacentral:rRNA from 1 species